GGGGGUAUAUCUCAAUCGUAGAGCACUUGGCCAGUACUCAGGAAGCCCUGGAUUCAAUUCCCAGCACCCCUU
rnacentral:tRNA from 1 species